GCCGAGUGGCGGUACAGGAAAGGAGUAGCCAACCAGUUGUCCUGCUGACGGGGAUUUUGGUUGACAUUGCAGACUUCAAAGAUCUGUGAGGUUCUGACUCGACUUGUGUAUGUUGAUAAGUCAUCACAGUUCAUCGAUGUCAUAUCACAAACUGAUAGCAGCUCCUUUUUUUAAUCACCUUCUUGACACACCAAAGUCACUCUGAAGAUGACCUGGUCCCCAUCUUCAAAGCAACCGAAGGUUGCCCAUGGUAACCCCAUGCAGCUCUUUGGGCUGCGGAGGAAGCUGGGGAGAAUGUGCAAACUCCACGCAGCAAGCCUCCAAUCUUGACUGAAGCCCAGGACCUUGUUGCAGUGAGCUGACAGUGUUAACCACCACACCGCCAUGCCACCCUGCGUCUCACCCUGUAACAGCAGGGAAAGGCUCCAGCAGCCCUGAAUUAGAUAUCCAGUUACCACCAAAAACAGAAGCCGCAAACAUCACCUUCUCCACCCUCAACCCUCACCGCUGCCAGAUGAAGGAAUGCAAGAGAUCAGUUUGAUUCAAACCCACUGUGUCAUUUCUCAUUAGUGAAGCCUUCAACAGCCUAACUCAGCUCUCUGUCCGUUCGGUUGGUGCCAGCACCCAAACUGCCAGGCAGCCGCUUUAAUGUGAAAUUCAAAACUAAAAACUGCAUUCCAGAGUUACAGCGGCCCAUGCCACGUGUUCAUCUUUUAGUAAUUUUUUUGGCUCGAACUCGUUGCCUGUCCACAGAGGCGUAUUAUCUGUGACGCUAUCUGCCACGACAUUGCCUGGCUCAAAGCGGAGAGUCUUGGCUCGCCGCCGUCUGAGGGCUUGAACCGCUUAUAUCACAAAUGGCAGAUGUGUCAUUCAUUUUAAUAAAAGUGGCCUAAUGUCAUUACAAAGCUCUCAGCAUGCUGGAACUAAAAAUAAAGCUGGGUCACA